UAGGGAAUCUUCGGCAAUGGACGAAAGUCUGACCGAGCAACGCCGCGUGAGUGAAGAAGGUUUUCGGAUCGUAAAACUCUGUUGUUAGAGAAGAACAAGGACGUUAGUAACUGAACGUCCCCUGACGGUAUCUAACCAGAAAGCCACGGCUAACUACGUGCCAGCAGCCGCGGUAAUACGAAGGUGGCAAUCGUUGUCCGGAUUUAUUGGGCGUAAAGCGAGCGCAGGCGGUUUCUUAAGUCUGAUGUGAAAGCCCCCGGCUCAACCGGGGCGGGUCAUUGGAAACUGGGAGACUUGAGUGCAGAAGAGGAGAGUGGAAUUCCAUUUGUAGCGGUGAAAUGCGUAGAUAUAUGGAGGAACACCAGUGGAGAAGGCGGCUCUCUGGUCUGUAACUGACGCUGAGGCUCGAAAGCGUGGGGAGCAAACAGG
rnacentral:rRNA from 1 species